CAGUCGCCACGGUAAUACAGAGGGUGCGAGCGUUAAUCGGAUUUACUGGGCGUAAAGCGUGCGUAGGCGGCUUCUUAAGUCGGAUGUGAAAUCCCUGAGCUUAACUUAGGAAUUGCAUUCGAUACUGGGAAGCUAGAGUAUGGGAGAGGAUGGUAGAAUUCCAGGUGUAGCGGUGAAAUGCGUAGAGAUCUGGAGGAAUACCGAUGGCGAAGGCAGCCAUCUGGCCUAAUACUGACGCUGAGGUACGAAAGCAUGGGGAGCAAACAGGAUUAGAGACCCGUGUAGUCCCUGUCUCUUAUAA
rnacentral:rRNA from 1 species